rnacentral:rRNA from 1 species
UGGGGAAUAUUGCACAAUGGAGGGAACUCUGAUGCAGCGACGCCGCGUGAACGAAGAAGGCUUUCGAGUCGUAAAGUUCUUUUAUAUGGGAAGAUAAUGACGGUACCAUAAGAAAAAGCCCCGGCUAACUACGUGCCAGCAGCCGCGGUAAUACGUAGGGGGCUAGCGUUGUCCGGAAUCACUGGGCGUAAAGGGUUCGCAGGCGGAAAUGCAAGUCAGGUGUAAAAGGCAGUAGCUUAACUACUGUAAGCAUUUGAAACUGCAUAUCUGGAGAAGAGUAGAGGUAAGUGGAAUUUUUAGGGUAGCGGUGAAAUGCUUAGAUAUUAAAAAGAAUACCGGUGGCGAAGGCGACUUACUAGGAUCAUUCUGACGCUGAGGAACGAAAGCGUGGGUAGCAAACAGG